rnacentral:rRNA from 1 species
CCUACGGGAGGCAGCAGUGGGGAAUAUUGGACAAUGGGGGAAACCCUGAUCCAGCAAUGCCGCGUGAGUGAUGAAGGCCUUCGGGUUGUAAAGCUCUUUUGUUAGGGACGAUGAUGACGGUACCUAACGAAUAAGCUCCGGCUAACUUCGUGCCAGCAGCCGCGGUAAUACGAAGGGAGCUAGCGUUGUUCGGAAUUACUGGGCGUAAAGGGCGCGUAGGCGGCUUGAUAAGUUUGGUGUGAAAGCCCUGGGCUCAACCUAGGAAUAGCAUUGAAUACUGUCAGGCUAGAGACCGAGAGAGGGAAAUGGAAUUGCGAGUGUAGAGGUGAAAUUCGUAGAUAUUCGCAAGAACACCAGUGGCGAAGGCGAUUUCCUGGCUCGGUACUGACGCUAAGGCGCGAAAGCGUGGGGAGCGAACAGGAUUAGAUACCCUGGUAGUCCACGCUGUAAACGAUGAAUGCUAGAUGUUGGUGGAGGAAUCCAUCAGUGUCGUCGCUAACGCAANANNAUCNCNGGAGACGCGCAGAUAAUAAAGUAAGUAGAGNGNGAGAGNGCGAGACGACGACGAGGAGAG